UUGAAUUUUAAUGAGGAGUUGGUUGUUGCUGGCCUUGGGAUUUUUUUAAUUAAUUGUUCCAGGCACUUGUGCACACCUUCUCUUUCAUCCACACACACCUGUGCACUUGUGAGACAGAUGUGGGGACUUUAUUGAACCCCGUCUGUCUACUUAAUUUACACACACUCUAUUUAAUUUAAACUGAAUGUAAUUGAUGUAACGCAUCUAAUAC
rnacentral:misc_RNA from 1 species